AUACUGAUGGACUAGCAGNACGGUAGAGGGAGGCGGAACUCCNNGUGUAGCGGUGAAAUGCGUAGAUAUNUGGAAGAACACCGAUGGCGAAGGCAACCUCCUGGGCCUGUUCUGACGCUGAKGCACGAAAGCGUGGGUAGCAAACAGGAUUAGAUACCCUGGUAGUCCACGCYGUAAACGAUGAGAACUUGACGUCGGGUCGCUUARCGAUUCGGUGUCNAAGCUAACGCGCUAAGUUCUCCGCCUGGGGAGUACGGCCGCAAGGUUGAAACUCAAAGGAAUUGACGG
rnacentral:rRNA from 1 species